rnacentral:ncRNA from 1 species
AAGGGAAGUCGGCAAAACGGAUCCGUAACCUUGGGAUAAGGAUUGGCUCUGAGGACUGAGCCGGUCGGGCUGGGGACCUGAAGCAGGAACGGCACUGCACCGGGACUGGGCGGGGCUCGCCGUUCACGCUGCGCGGCCAAGCCCGGACCAGCGUCGGGACCUUCCUGUGGAAAGCCUCAGCUGCGCAGCGUCUGAGGGCUUCGUUCCCAAAGUGCUAUGCUUCGGCCGGCAAAAAACAGUCAACUCAGAACUGGCACGGACCGGGGGAAUCCGACUGUCUAAUUAAAACAAAGCAUUGCGAUGGCCGCUGGUCGGUGUUGACGCAAUGUGAUUUCUGCCCAGUGCUCUGAAUGUCAACGUGAAGAGAUUCAUCAAAGCGCGGGCAAACGGCGGGAGUAACUAUGACUCUCUUGAAUGCAGCGGCCCCGGCUCCAACACCCGUGUUUACACGGGGAAGUCCGGGUCCCUCUGCCCAACCACCUACAGAGUGAUAAUCCUUCGCUUCUCCAUCAGAUUCCGGGGAUCGGGUCCCCCCAGGCCUUUCUUGGCCUUGUUCCGGAGGGUUGGGCUUGCCACCGGCCCAAGCUGCCAGUAAUUGGGCCUCAGGUUUAGCCAGCCCUUCUCUCUGUCUGUUGGAUUCCUGCCCAUGUAACACCACCAGGCGGGGAGCCUCUUGGCCUCGUCUGGCCUCGGGGUUCCUCGGCACUCUUGGAGAAACAGGCAAUAGCCAAAUGCCUCGUCAUCUAAUUAGUGACGCGCAUGAAUGGAUUAACGAGAUCCCCACUGUCCCUAUCUA